rnacentral:rRNA from 1 species
UACAGAGGUCUCAAGCGUUGUUCGGAUUCAUUGGGCGUAAAGGGUGUGUAGGUGGCGCCGUAAGUCGGGUGUGAAAUUUCGGAGCUUAACUCCGAAACUGCAUUCGAUACUGCGGUGCUUGAGGACUGGAGAGGAGACUGGAAUUCAUGGUGUAGCAGUGAAAUGCGUAGAGAUCGGGAAGAACACUAGUGGCGAAGGCGGCGUUCUGGGCUGCAACUGACGCUGAGAUGCGAAAGUGUGGGGAGCAAACGGG